GACUUAGAGUUUCUAGGUUUUUUUUUGGUUUGGGCAGCUGUAGAGAGAUGCUCUCUUGCCAAGUCUCUGGCCAAAACUGAAGGUCAGCUGGCUGCUUCUCCACCUCUCUGAGCUAGCAGGGUUACACCCCUGACUCCUGAGUCUUUAUUGACUAAUUAGGAUAAUGCUUCAAUGGCAGACUUGGAGCCGGUGGAGGACUUGUCUGGAUGUGGUCUUGCCUUUUGGUGGUCUUCUCAGGAUGCUCGGAACCCAGAGAAGUUCAGUGAAUGUCUACAGGAUGUACAGUAGAUGUUUUGUCAGUCUGGCCUAGAUGGACAGCUUGGAAAAGCAUCAGAGACAACCUCAUUUCACUAUUGUCUCUGUGGACCAGACCCAGUGAGCUCCACUCUGUGAGGACAACAGAUGGCCCGUGAAUUCCUGAAUGGCUGCAGCUGCUCACUGCUCCAGGUGGAGAGCACAGCCAGGAGAGCCUGGAAGUUUCCGAUCACACAGGGCUGGCUGCAGUCUCUUCCAUGAAUGUGCUGAUUUCAGAGGUGAUUCAGAAUGUGACAGCAACAUUUAGCAGGUGCACACAGGGAGAUGCUGAGUGCACAGACAGAUGUACCAGCUACUUUCCUUGCACGGCAGCUCACCCUGAAUGACCCUGGUCCUCUGUGCUUACACUUUUACCGUUUGAGAAGAAUGACGUUCAAUGUGCUGGCUAACACACUGAGUUCUCACCGAUUUCUCCCCUGUGGUUUAGAAAGCUUGCCUCCAGCACACGGAAGCCAAGGUUAUUUGAAUAGCAGCUUUUGAAUAAAAGCAAAUAGUCCCUUAG